GACGAGCGCUGGCGGCGUGCUUAACACAUGCAAGUCGAACGGAAAGGCCCUGCUUUUGUGGGGUGCUCGAGUGGCGAACGGGUGAGUAACACGUGAGUAACCUGCCCUUGACUUUGGGAUAACUUCAGGAAACUGGGGCUAAUACCGGAUAGGAGCUCCUGCUGCAUGGUGGGGGUUGGAAAGUUUCGGCGGUUGGGGAUGGACUCGCGGCUUAUCAGCUUGUUGGUGGGGUAGUGGCUUACCAAGGCUUUGACGGGUAGCCGGCCUGAGAGGGUGACCGGCUACAUUGGGACUGAGAUACGGCCCAGACUCCUACGGGAGGCAGCAGUGGGGAAUAUUGCACAAUGGGCGGAAGCCUGAUGCAGCAACGCCGCGUGCGGGAUGACGGCCUUCGGGUUGUAAACCGCUUUCGCCUGUGACGAAGCGUGAGUGACGGUAAUGGGUAAAGAAGCACCGGCUAACUACGUG
rnacentral:rRNA from 1 species